rnacentral:rRNA from 1 species
AGAGUUUGAUCCUGGCUCAGGACGAACGCUGGCGGCGUGCCUAACACAUGCAAGUCGAGCGGAGAUAGUUUGCAGCUUGCUGCGAACUAUCUUAGCGGCGGACGGGUGAGUAACGCGUGGAUAACCUGCCUUUUACAGGGGGAUAACACAGGGAAACUUGUGCUAAUACCGCAUAACAUAUCGAGGUGGCAUCACCUUGA